UGGGGAGUAUUGGACAAUGGGCGAAAGCCUGAUCCAGCCAUGCCGCGUGUGUGAAGAAGGUCUUCGGAUUGUAAAGCACUUUAAGUUGGGAGGAAGGGCAGUAAGCGAAUACCUUGCUGUUUUGACGUUACCGACAGAAUAAGCACCGGCUAACUCUGUGCCAGCAGCCGCGGUAAUACAGAGGGUGCGAGCGUUAAUCGGAUUUACUGGGCGUAAAGCGUGCGUAGGCGGCUAAUUGAGUCGGAUGUGAAAUCCCCGAGCUUAACUUGGGAAUUGCAUUCGAUACUGGUUAGCUAGAGUGUGGGAGAGGAUGGUAGAAUUCCAGGUGUAGCGGUGAAAUGCGUAGAGAUCUGGAGGAAUACCGAUGGCGAAGGCAGCCAUCUGGCCUAACACUGACGCUGAGGUACGAAAGCAUGGGGAGCAAACAGG
rnacentral:rRNA from 1 species